AAAGUUUCAAGCUUGCCAAAACAGACAAGGCCAAAGGAAAUUAAAUAGGCAGAGACUCGGACAGUCCCAAGCGACAGUGUGCGUGCAUACACACAACGUGUCUAUGUGAGUGAGAGCAGUGACUUCCAGGUUGUUUUAACUUGAGGAGAA